UAUGAACAGAGAAUAGAACGUCAGAAAAAUCGGUAUAAAGCGCUCUCAAGAGAAGUAAGGAAAUUGGAAGAUGAAAGGGAGGAGUCACAGUUCAGAGCGGAGAAGACUCAAGAUUUGAAAUCCGUGUCGGCUCACCAAGAAGCGGAAUGGAAAAGGGGUAUCCAAAGCCUUAGAUCUUCUUUGAAACAAGAAGAAGAAAAGAGGCUCAGAGUAGAAGUGCUGUGUGAGAAAAGGAGAGAAGACCUCCGAAGGAAAGAAGAUCAAUGUUGUAAAGAGAUGGAGGAGAAACAGAAACUUGAGUUACAGUCUAGGAAUUUAGAAAUGGAGUUAAGAACACUGAGAAAGCUCUUGAAACAGGUUGAAGAGGAACGUGAUGAAACACAGAGACAGCGCUCUCAGGAAAAGAGGGCCAGAGCCCUUCAAGAAGGAAUUUUGAACAACCACCUUGGGAGACAAAAGGAACUAGAAGAAGAGACAAGAAGAUCUAUAGGAAAAAAAUCAGAGGAAUCCCGCACUGAUAGAGAACAGGAUCUGUUGUACAAGAAUCAGUUACUACAAGAUGAGAUUGCUAUGCUAAGG